rnacentral:rRNA from 1 species
AAGGAGGAAAGGGGGUUGGAGUUUAGAGACCUACAUAGUUUCAAUCUUGCUAUGUCAGCAAAACAGUGUUGGCGACUACUCCAGAACCCAGAUUCUUUAUGUGCACGUGUGCUGAGCGCCAAAUACUAUCCUGAUGGGAACAUUUUGAAGGUUGGUCCGAAGAAGGGGUCGUCGUAUACAUGGCAAAGCAUUGUUUCUGGCAUUUGGACUUUUCAGAGGGGUGAUACAUCCAUUUUGCACCACGUCUACCUACUAUUAUUUAUAAUGUUUUUAUGCAUAAUAACGCUAUUUGGAGUAAUUCUAAUAUAUUUUCUCUCAUAA